GGUACUGUGUGGCGGAGGCCGGGGCGGCCGCAGCUCGAAUCCCCCAAACAAUGCCGCGCCAAGUGCAGGUUCCUCGCCCUUUUCCGUGCACUUUUUCCUUCUAAUGGGGCUAGUGGCCUCAAAUGGGCGCUGUAUCUUGACACGACAACAAUCCCUACCCCCUCGCUUGCCCCCCCCCCCACCUCCUCCCCUGCUUUUCCUUCCUCCCUCCGGGUCUUUGAUCUAUUAAAAAUCAAAAGAACAAAGUCACAGAGGAAAGUUGGGUUUUGUUGUGGCUGCCACGGCACAAAAUGGGCCUCUUCAAACAGAGUGUGGUGGAAGCCACGUCCGACAAUGCUGAUCCAGGAUUGGUUGUAACUACAGGUCAGACUGGACAGCUCUAUACAAGAGAAGGCAAAUCCAGGCCUGCCGAGGAGUGGCCAGAUUCUCCAUCCCAAAUUGGCUGCGGGGCCUCCUGGGAGCCAGGGAUGCCUCCAGUCAGGCUCCGAGUGCAAGAUGAGGGACAUCAGGGUCCCGGAAAGGCCUCCAGGUGAGGAGCCACGAGGACUUGGCGCUACGAUAUCUGCUCAAUCUUAAGUCAUCUUACAAAGCCCCCGUGUAGCAUUGGACUCUGCCCAAAUCUGGACACGCUUCGGCUUCCCCUACAGUGCUUGGCACACAGCAGUUCUAAAUACAUUAGGAAAACCACUUCCUAGACCACUGAAAAGGCAUAACACGAACUGGCCAAAAGUUUCUGGGCUACUUUCCAGCCUUCAAGAAGGACUGAAGGGAGAAGUCUGUGAGGCCUCUUCACAAGCAGAUGGAGAGGGAAAAGGAAGUCACCAUGGUAACCACUACCCAGGCUCUGGGUGAUUCUGAAGCUCGAUCAGACUGAAAAACCACCAAUUUAAGAACCCCAACCACCCACCUGCUGAUGGAAAUUGUAUACUUAGAAGUCUGUGUUCUUGCAGUCUAGAGACAAACUGGAAAGGGAAUCAAGGAAAAGCUGUCUGAAGCUGAGGACUCCUAGCACAGAAGUCCAAUCAGAGGUUCUGCUCUGAUCUGCUGCAGGUCCAGCCCCAUCACUGAGGUGGCUGAGCCCUCAGGGGUGAAAAACCUGAAGGGAAAUCAGCCAAGUUCCCUCCCUCAGAGAGAAGUCCAGAAUGGGAGACAGGGAGAUACUGACCCCCAGGUAUAGAAGGAAGCAGUGGAGGGAGGAAGAUGCUGGAGGUUAAGUCAUUCAAAACAGAGAGGAGUUCAAAUGCCACUGGACAAAAGGUAGUUUGAGGGGGUGGCUUGUGUGCAUGAGUGAGAGUACGAGUGUGAGUGUGGAGUACGUGUGAGGAGUGUGACAGAUGCGAAUAUUGUGGGUGUAAAAAAUGGGGAUAUGCUAGGGGCCUGGGCAGAGCGUGGAGGAUGAAGAGAGUGGCUGAUGUGAAAGGUUGGGGGAGAGGCACAGGUGACAGAGGGCUGGGACAGGGUGCACAGGACACAAAGGGGCAUGAGCUAAAGAGAUGGGAGGUGGUAAGGGGUCUAAGAGAAGUGAGAGAAGUAAUGAGGGUUGAGAAGAUCUGAGGGGCUUGUGGGUUUGUGUGGGAGUAGCAGAGGGGGAAGGAGAGAAGGGGAGGAAGGGAUAGGAAGGAUUGAGAAGGAGGGAGAGGGGAUUUGUGAAGGGCUGAAGGAGUCGGAAAGGGUGACAGGGUGGGAGGCAUAGGGGAGAUGGGAGAAGGCGAGUGGGGAGAGCAGAGCGGGUAAGGUGCACCCUGCUCCAACGUCUCCCAAGCUGCAAUGGAAAGGCCGGGAAUAAGCAUGAAUAGUAAUCAGGGACACCUGGGUGGCUCAGUGGUUGAGCGUCUGCCUUCAGCUCAGCACGGGAUCCCGGGGUCCUGGGAUCAAGUCUCACAUCGGGAUCCCCGCAGGGAGCCUGCUUCUC